rnacentral:tRNA from 1 species
AAGCUUGUAGUUCAACGGUUAGAGCGUGCCGCUCAUAACGGCAAAGUUGCGGGUUCAAAUCCUGCCAGGCUUA